UACGUAGGGUCCGAGCGUUGUCCGGAAUUAUUGGGCGUAAAGGGCUCGUAGGCGGUCUGUUGCGUCGGGAGUGAAAACUUACAGCUUAACUGUGAGCGUGCUUCCGAUACGGGCAGACUUGAGGUAUUCAGGGGAGAACGGAAUUCCUGGUGUAGCGGUGAAAUGCGCAGAUAUCAGGAGGAACACCGGUGGCGAAGGCGCUCAUCUGGCCCAAUACUGACGCUGAGGCGCGAAAGCGUGGGGAGCGAACAGG
rnacentral:rRNA from 1 species